rnacentral:rRNA from 1 species
UAGGGAAUCUUCCGCAAUGGACGCAAGUCUGACGGAGCAACGCCGCGUGAGUGAAGAAGGAUUUCGGUUCGUAAAACUCUGUUGUUAGAGAAGAACAGCGCAUAGAGUAACUGUUAUGCGUGUGACGGUAUCUAACCAGAAAGCCACGGCUAACUACGUGCCAGCAGCCGCGGUAAUACGUAAGGGGCGAGCGUUGUCCGGAAUUAUUGGGCGUAAAGAGUGCGUAGGCGGCAAAUUAAGUCAGAUGUGAAAACUAAGGGCUCAACCCCUAGAUUGCAUCUGAAACUGAUAUGCUUGAGUCAAGGAGAGGAAAGUGGAAUUCCUAGUGUAGCGGUGGAAUGCGUAGAUAUUAGGAGGAAUACCGGUGGCGAAGGCGACUUUCUGGACUUGAACUGACGCUGAGGCACGAAAGCGUGGGGAGCAAACAGG